GGCUAGGUAGCUCAGUGGUAGACUUGGAGCACCUGGUAUAUAUCCAAGGAGGCCUGGGUUCAACCCCCAGUCUGGCCA